rnacentral:rRNA from 1 species
GCCACUGCUAUCAGAGUUCGAUUAAGCCAUGCGAGUCGAGAGGUGCAAGACCUCGGCAUACUGCUCAGUAACACGUGGACAAUCUAACCUAAGGAGAGGGAUAAUCCCGGGAAACUGGGGCUAAUACCUCAUAGACUAUGGAUGCUGGAACGCUUCGUAGUUCAAAGGUCAGCCGCCUUAGGAUGGGUCUGCGGCCGAUUAGGUAGUUGUUGGGGUAACGGCCAACAAGCCUGUAAUCGGUACGGGUUGUGGGAGCAAGAGCCCGGAGAUGGAUUCUGAGACACGAAUCCAGGCCCUACGGGGCGCAGCAGGCGCGAAAACUUUACAAUGCGGGAAACCGUGAUAAGGGAACUCUGAGUGCCCGUUAAAUCGGCUGUCACCAGUUUAAAAAACUGUGAAGAAAGGCCGGCAAGACGGUNCACCCCGCGGUANACGGCGCUNAGUGUGCCACUAUNCUGGGUUAAGCGUUGUANUGUUUGUUAAGUCUCUGGGAAUCUUCCGGCUCACCGGAAGGCGUCUCAGGAUCUGCAGCUAGGACCGGAANAGUUAGGGGUACUCCAGGGUAGAAGUAAAUCCUGUAAUCCUUGGGACCACCUGUGCGAAGGCGCCUCACCAGACGGUCCGACAGUAGGACGAAAGCUGGGGGACAAACCGGAUUAGAUACCCGGGUAGUCCCAGCCGUAAACGAUGUGCGUUAGGUGUAUCGGUGACCACGAGUCACCGAGGUGCCGAAGAGAAAUCGUGAAACGUACCGCCUGGAAGUACGGUCGCAAGGCUGAAACUUAAAGGAAUUGCGGGGGAGCACCACAACAGGUGGAGCCUGCGGUUUAAUCGGACUCAACGCCGGAAAACUCACCAGAUAAGACAGCUGAAUGAUAGUCGGGCUGAAGACUCUACUUGACUAGCUGAGAGGAGGUGCAUGGCCGUCGUCAGUUCGUACUGUGAAGCAUCCUGUUAAGUCAGG